CUUCCAUGACAAUCGAUCUUCGAUCGAGCUUCUACAAUAAGCUGCCUCCGUUCAGCCUUCUGCAAGAAUCAGACUUCGUCUGAACUUCCAUAGCAGAUGGAUUUCGGAUGAGCUUCUACAAUAGAUAGGCUCCAGUAGCUGGAUUUCUACAAUGACCGAUCACCUCCGAUGUCUGCCGAACCUCCCCAGCCAUCAACCUUUAAUAGCGUCAGCCGGACUUCAACAACGCCAUCCAGACUACCAUAGGAUCUCCAGACUCCUCCAGCGGAUGAACCUCCCAAC
rnacentral:lncRNA from 1 species